rnacentral:rRNA from 1 species
AACGAACGCUGGCGGCGUGGCUAAGACAUGCAAGUCGAACGAUACGUUGUAGCAAUAUGGCGUAUAGUGGCGGACGGGUGAGUAAUGAAUAGGUAACGUACCCCGGGCACAGGAAUAGCGUCGGGGUCCCGCAAGGGAUCCUUUGCGAAAGUGACGGUAAUACCUGGUGACGUCAUCGGAGGGGCCUCUCUUGAUGAUCAGUAGGGGUGGGGACCUUCGGGCCUAUCGGCCUGGGAGCGGCCUAUUUCCUAUCAGCUUGUUGGUGAGGUAACGGCUCA